CGGGCAACUGCAGGAUGCGCUUUCACAUGACAAGGCAAUUGCAUCGGAUAUCUCCAUGGCUGAUAUUCUCCGACUUGAAGAAGAAAUCCGAAGGUUAAACCACGAGGUCUACAAGCUGAAGGCACAUAUGGCACAUACGAGAAAUGACACAAGCGUAUUUUCAGAAUGACUCUGCUGCAGUGAAGUUUUACUCUGGACUUCCCAACUAUGCAAUGUUGCUUACAGUUUUCGAUUUGGUUGAGAACCAUGUCCACCAUACAUCUUGCAAUUCUUUGACGAAAUUUCAGGAGAUAAUGUUAACUUUGGUUCGGCUUUGUUUAAACGUGCCUCUUCAAGAUCUU